UGGGGAAACGAAGGUCUAGUUUGCAGG
rnacentral:piRNA from 1 species